rnacentral:piRNA from 1 species
GAUCGAGAAAUGGUUCACUGUUGUUGC